rnacentral:rRNA from 1 species
GAAGUUUGUAGUCUCGGCUCAGGAUGAACGCUGGCGGCGUGCUAACACAUGCGAAGUCGAACGGGGCGACCCCCAAACGGAAGUUUUACGGUACGAACGUGCGGGGAAGUGCCUAGUGCGGACGGGUGAGUAACGCGUGAGCAACCUGCCUUGGAUGGGGAAUAACAGAUGGAAACAUCUGCUAAUACCGCAUGAUGCAGUUGGGCCACAUGGCUCUGACUGCCAAAGAUUUAUCGCUCUGAGAUGGGCUCGCGUCUGAUUAGCUAGUUGGCGGGGUAACGGCCCACCAAGGCGACGAUCAGUAGCCGGACUGAGAGGUUGGCCGGCCACAUUGGGACUGAGACACGGCCCAGACUCCUACGGGAGGCAGCAGUGGGGAAUAUUGGGAAAUGGGCGCAAGCCUGACCCAGCAACGCCGCGUGAAGGAAGAAGGCUUUCGGGUUGUAAACUCCUUUUCUCAGGGACGAACAGAUGACGGUACCUGAGGAAUAAGCCACGGCUAACUACGUG